AAAAUCCGUCGACUUUAAAAAUCGUGAGGGUUCAAGUCCUU
rnacentral:tRNA from 1 species